CGGAAGUAAAGUCGUAACAAGGUUCCGUAGGUGAACCUGCGGAAGGAUCAUUAAUAAAUGGUCUACGUUUUUUAAGUAGACGCUUAAUAAUCCUACCUUGUGAAUUUGUGUUUUGAAAUAAUUUUUUUUAAAUUAUGAUGUCUUUCCCUGUGAAUUGGUUGUCUUAAUGGCAAAUGAUUCGCAGGGAGGUCAGUAAUUUUUAAAAAGACCUUUUUAAAAUUAAACUUUUUGUAUUCAUUUGUCUAAAUUAUUUUUAUAAUAUAAAAACAACUUUGACAAUGGAUCUUGUUCUCGCAACGAUGAAGAACGCAGCAAAUGCGAUAAGUAGUGUGAAUUGCAGAAUACGUGAAUCAUCGAAUCUUCGAACGCAUAUUGCACUUUUUUAGUUACUAAGAAGUAUGUCUGUUUGGUAUCAGUAAAAUAUUCUCAUAAAACUUUUGUUUUAUGUUAUGAGUGUUUACAACGAUACAGUUGUUCACUUUAAAUUUUUUUAAAAUUUGAAUUUUCUAAUUUAAAAUAAAUGGAUAAAUUUCCCGUAAAAGGAAUAACCUAAACAAUUUUAAUUUUUGAUUAGAAUUCUUCACAUUCUAAGGAAAAUUAACUAAUAACUUGAUCUCAAAUCAGAUAAGAGUACCGCUGAACUUAAGCAUAUCAAUAAGCGGAGGAAAAGAAACUACAAGGAUUCCUUAGUAACGGCGAGUGAGCGGAAGAGCUCAAAUUGAAAUCUUCAAGUUUUACCUUGACGAAUUGUAGUUUAAAGAAGUGUUUUCUGUUGAAGUUUGGUAAAGUUCUUUGGAAUAGACAUCAUAGAGGUGAGAAUCCCGUAUUUGACCAUUAUUCAGCUGUGUGAUACACUUUCAAGAGUCGGAUUGUUGGGAAUGCAGUCCAAAAUGGGUGUAAAUUUCAUCUAAGCUAAAUAUUGCGAGAGACCGAUAGCGAACAAGUACCGUGAGGGAAAGAUGAAAAGAACUUGAAAAGAGAGUUAACAGUACGUGAAAUUGUCAAAGGAAGCGUUUGACACCAGUGUUGUUUCUCGAAAGUCAAUUAAAAAAGUUGGAUUUUGUGUUGUAUUGACCUUAACAGCUUGCUUCACUCUUUCCUGCUUUUUUUAAUGCACUUUUCGUUAACAAGUCAACAUCAGUUUCUUUGUUGUAAAGGGUCAUUGGAAGUGGCUUUCUCUUCGGAGAAGUGUUAUAGCCUUUGAUCUCUGCAAUCGAGAGACUGAGGUCCGCAGCGUGAUCCUUCGGGGUUAGAUACAUUUGUGCUAAGCUACAGCUUUCAUAGACAACUGUUGACUAUGUUUAGUCUGUAACUUACCCGCUUAUGCUAUUUACCUACGCUUAGGAUGUUGAG
rnacentral:misc_RNA from 1 species